rnacentral:lncRNA from 1 species
CAAAUGAAUCUGCAUUUAAUUAGAGCAAUUAAUUUAACUUUCAUCACCAUUAAUAAUAGACCUCUAAUCUAAUACUGACUUCCCUUUUAAAUGUAUUGGAAUAAUUCUCUUCUGUAGUUACUACCUUGGAAAUAUUUACCAUUUUCCCUGCAGGGUUAGUUUAGAAUGAUCAAAGCACGGGCGAUACACUGGAUCUUAGAGGCUGAAACCCUUCUGGAAGGGUCAGUUUUGCUCUACUUUGCUGUUUGACGUGGAGUGGUGCACAUGACCAAAUGUCAUUUGGAGGCUUGGAUUGUGUCUAAAGGAGAACCUGAAUGUCAGAGACCCAUUUUGUGUCCCGCGUCUUGGAGGUUUGGCACGUACAGGACAUGUCUCUCAAGAGGAGCAGAAAGGGCGCUCUGAGGGACCUCCUUGAAAAUCAUCCUCAUUGUUCUCCAAAAAGUAGAAACAGCCCAUCACCAUCACAGUCCUUGCUUUGGCUUCUGGAACCCUCCCGGGACGCUCCCUACAGGUGGAGGAUCUGCCUCCAUCCUCUGGCCACCCAGCCCUGAAACGUCCUCCCUUGAAGGACUAUCUGUUUUUAGGCAGGUCUUCUCAGCCUCCUCAUCUUCUUUUCUAGGAAAAAUCUCUUGGGUAGCUUAGUCACCAAGUACAUGUCCAUUCGUCAGUUUCGGUGACAGCAGAAACUUUCCCAGGGAAGGGAUGGCGUGUUGCUGGUGCCUGACCACUGCCUACCACCAUACCUGUGAUAUUUCUGCUUGUGUGUUGUGUGAAAACAAGUGAGCGCGUGAGUAGUAAUACCAGAUGCUGCAGCGAAUUGGCCCUGACACCCGGGUGCUUUGUCUGCACUUCUAGUUGUUGGCAAAUGUUCUGAGUGGAAGGGGAGCCACUCAACCCAGGAAAAUUCCUCGAGCACAUUUACUUUCCGUGGGGGUCAGAGAGGUGAGAAGAGCACAAUGCAGAAAGGGACUCUUCCUAGAUUCAAGUGGAGCAGCUUGAGGGAAGCAGAUUCCUGGCCUGUGGGUGUGCAAAGUAUAAUUUUUUCCUGGCUGUAGGCAGCAGGCACCAAUUACUGACCCAGUGCAUUUUGUAAGCUCUUGUCUCCGAGCUAAGGAGAAAAUUCACAUAUAGGAAAAUGCUUACAUGAUAGCCUGAAGGAAGUUUUGUGGGUUUGAAGAAUGAGCCAGGAAGAAAGUCAUAAGAAAGACAUUAUGGGAGAUGCUCAGAAAAGAACAGUUUCAAGGGGCGGUGAGUGAGUCAAGACCCAAAGGCAGCUGAUUCCCAGUAUCAGUCCCUGGAGAGGACACAUCCAGUCAGCCUCAGCCUGGAGGGACCCCAGGGGCCCAGAGAGAGCCCUGCUGGAACGUGUCAUACUGAGCUUCGGCUUUAUACAACAGUGUCCGGAAAAGCUUGAGAUGGCUUUUAAGGGACUGGAUUUUUUUUUAAAUUAUAAAUGAUGGCAGGAACAACCCUUACCUAGAAAGAAUACUGGAGAUGCGUGGACAAGACCAUCUAAUUAGGUGGUGCUGCUGUGUUUCUUUCCAUGGUGUUUGCCACUGGAGUUGAGCAUAGACUCGUCUUCAUGCUGAUCUGGUUGUGCCUGUUACAGGGCACUAAACGCUGUGUUCACAUUUGGGCCAGACCAGUACAGGAGCGAGGCAGGUGCUGCAAUGACUGUGGAGAGAUGUCCAAGCCCUAAAGCAAGAUUCUGAGGCUGCUUAGUCCCUAAACAUUGGUUUUUCCGUUCGUUGUUAUAAUUUUAUUAAAGGAAACCACAGUUUUCCUUAAAAGUGGCUGAAUCGAGUCUGGGUGGUUGUGGUGGUUGUUUUUCUUCCUUGAUUAGGGGUUUUUUUUUUUUUUUAAACCGUAGAUUGGUUGUGAAUCUGAUUAGAAUUAUGAGCUCCGAUAAAAUAAAUAUUCUCAUAAAUACACAUUUCUGCAAAAAUUUUCAUGAUAGUCACUGAUCUCUAAACAUACAUAUGAAGGACAGGUGAGGCUCUGCCUUAGAAGGAGGCUGCGGGUGGAAGGAAAUUAGAAGCAACGACUGCAAAGGCCUGAAAUCUCAUUACUGAUUCCAAGCCACAUUUCAAGACACAUUUUGUAAAUGGGGGCUUCAUGCUGGAGAUGGGGGGGCGACCUCAUAUGCCUCGGCCCCAGCUGGCCAUGCUCCUGCUCCAUCUCUGGAAUGUUUAAACUAACAAGUGGUGGAACUUGGAUAAAAGAAGCUUCAAAUUCUAUAAUCUCUAUGCAAUUUACAUAAAACCAAACCAAAAUUGUACACCAUGUAAAGGAAAGAGAAGGGGAGGGAUCUGUUGCCCGGAUUGAACCUAAAUAAAGAAAGUGACACACUGUUAAGGACAAAUUCGGAUAUGAUAUAAUGGCACACUGACACACUUGCUUGGGAGGAGUAAACUUGAAAAUGCAGGGUUUUUUUUGGAACAAGGAAACUGAAAAUAAUCAAAGACAUAAAUGAACCUCCCCUAUUUUCUUCCAGGCAGGUUUUUAGAAGAUGGACAACAUACAAAGAACGAUUUGGGAAAGUCUGAGAUGGCGUUUAAGGAUUUACAGGGAGAAGUCAAGUAAUGCAGCUACUUCGAGAUCCUUCAUUCCCGGAGGCUGCGGAAGGUUCAGCAACAGCUUAAGACAUCCUGCUUUUUCUCCUACAGAAAAGCACCCACAUCGCUGCCCAGCCGCUUGCGUGCUCUGAGACUUCAGUUCUGUGCCCCCACUUCCCAGGCACCAGAGCCUCCUCCUGGCAGCAAACUUGCUGUGGGAAUGGAUGUGGCUCCCUGUGUGGACUUCUGGGGUCACGCUGAUGCCAGUGCCCUCCUUCUCUGAAGGGAAGGCAGGUGUUCAGAGACACCAUCCCAGCUGGUGGCCAUGGAAAGAGCUCAGAGAGUUUUGUCCCUUUUAAACCAUGUUUUAUUUCAAACACAUAAUCUCCAGUCACCACGCAACAGAUAUUUGUUGAAACAGUGUUAUUUCAGGCACUGGAGAAUAGCAGUAAAUAAACUAGACAAGCUCCUGCCUUCACAACGUAGUGCAGGGGAUACAACUUAAGUACCUGGGGCGAGAGAGAGAGAGAGAGAAAGAGAGAGAGAGAGAGAGAGAGAGAGGUUCUUCCUGUGCACGUCGCCUUGGAACAGAGACCAAGCUGAAGGCCUGGGUGCAUUGAGAAAGUGGAGCCAAUAGAAUUUGCUCGUGGGUAUGGGGGGAAGAGAAAAGAAAAGUAAAGGACAAAUCCAAAGUUCGGUGCCUGAAAGACUGGUAGAAUGGAGCUGCCAUGGCAGAUCUGGAGGUCUGAGGAAGGAGCGGGCUGGUGGUAAGUAGCUGGAAAGGCAGCUUGGACCAUGACGACAACUUUGGACACUUGUUGUUGAGACGCCCAUCACACAUGCAAGUAAAAACACCCACUCUGCCAUGGCUUACGUCAACCUAGAGUUUAGUGGGAGGCGCGGCUAGCAACCCAUUUCAGCACGUCCUCGACCCAGGUGAAAUGAUUCACUAUUACACUGUAAAUACACAUAUGAAACUAUGUAUUUGUUAAAACUCUUAGAACUUGAAAACAGGAAGAAUAAAAAACGUAUGUGUAUGUAUACAUAUGUGUGUGAGUGUGUAUAUAUAUACAUGCAUAUGCGUGUAUGUGUGUGUACAUAUAUAUAUAUAGUGGUCAGGACAUCCAGGAGGUAGUGCAGAGUUUGAAAAAAAUAAUACAACUGCGUUACAGCUGUAUAAAGUCACUUCACUGAUGGAGGGGAGGAAGGGGUAUUGCCCUCGCUAACUAUGGAAAUGAGUAGAAUCUCUAAGACUAAACACAACAGCGGACAGCACAAAAGCACUACAGUCUAGUUGAUAGCGUGGUUUCCAGCAGGAGUGUGCGUUAACAAUUCUGAUACUGUUAUCAGUGUAUAAAGGAAACACACAUUUAAGUAAACAGCUAGCAGAUGAUGGGGGCCGGGUUUCUCACCUUAGAAGUGGGAUUUCUGUAAACAAGGGGAGGGGGCCAGAAUGACCCAUGUGGCGGUGGGUUGAUUUGGAGACGUUUGUACAAACUCACGUUUCGCUUAAUAGAGAUACAGCUGGCUGCAUGUGGAAAUAUUUAAUGAUGUGUGUUAGUUGCACUGUCAGCUGAGUGAGCCUAGAAUCAACUACACCCUGGCAGCAAGGAGCAGCCUGGCACCCAGACCUUGUAUUCUGAGAGUUUUGUCCAAUAAAAGGAAGCAGGGCUCCUUGGAGAAAUGCUGAUUCUGGAACUAGGGCAGGAGACAGAGCCUGGAUCAUCACAUAAUGCCUUAGCAUAAGGAAGUGCUCAAAAAAGGGGGGGUGGAUAACAAUCAUAGGAUUUUAUUACAGAGGCAGGAAACAACUGAAAGCUCCUAGUAGCCAAAGCUGGACAUUUUGAGCAACAAAACUGAUAAAGUAGUAUCGGAUUAUAAAAUAAAGUAUGAAGUAAAUAUUCAUGAGCCCACAGUAACGUAAACCUAUGCAGCACAUUCACAGUGAGAGACAACAGACGAAGCUCCCACGCAGAAGAACGCGGCACAUGCUCGAUGCAGGUUCCUCACCCUCGAGGAGUGGAGCACCGAGCGUCCGUUUUAGGAGUGGGCCGCACGUCGUGACUUCCUUCCGAGGUGAUAAAUGGAAAGGGGAAAACUACCCUGGAGAAGGGCGACAAACACCGUCUCAGACAGGUGACCCAGGUCACCGUCCACCUUGAUGCCCUGUGGACCACACGUCCUCCUGACAUGAUGCCAUGAGACUGGCAGUGCCCCUCCACUGUCUUCCCCGUAAAACCAGUCCCUCCCGUCUAGUCAUAAGAAACACAUCAGACAAAUCCUUUUGCGAGACAGUCGUUCGUGCACCUGAGUGACCCUCUCAAACUGUCACGACCAUCAAAACUAAGAAGGGUCUGAGAGAUUGUCACGGCCAAGAGGAGCCUGGGGAGACAUGGAAAGUGAGUGCAAGAAGGCGUCCUCAAUGAGAUCCUGAGACAUAAAAAGGAGAGUAGAUAAAACCAAGGGAAUCGCAAUACAACAUUGGCCUUAGCUAAGAGUGUUCAUAUCCAUCCACUAAUUGUGACAAGUGUGUGGUAAAAUAUAAAGUGUCAAUAACGAGAGACCCUAGGUGUAGUUACAUGGGAACUCUCUUGCCAUCUGCUGAACUUUUCUGUAAACUCCCCAAAGUUUUAAAAUACAUUUAUUACAAAAUCAACUAAAGAAAUCACAAAAGAAAAUAUCAAUAGAUUAGACUGAAUAAUUUUGGAGACAUGGGUACAUAGAACACAUAAUAAAUGGACUUACAUUAUAAAUC